UACGUAGGGACCGAGCGUUGUCCGGAAUUAUUGGGCGUAAAGAGCUCGUAGGCGGUGUGUCGCGUCGGUCGUGAAAACUUGGGGCUUAACCCUGAGCGUGCGUUCGAUACGGGCAGACUAGAGGUAUGCAGGGGAGAACGGAAUUCCUGGUGUAGCGGUGGAAUGCGCAGAUAUCAGGAGGAACACCGGUGGCGAAGGCGGUUCUCUGGGCAUUACCUGACGCUGAGGAGCGAAAGCAUGGGGAGCGAACAGG
rnacentral:rRNA from 1 species